UACGUAGGGUGCAAGCGUUAAUCGGAAUUACUGGGCGUAAAGCGUGCGCAGGCGGCUUUGUAAGUCUGGCGUGAAAUCCCCGGGCUUAACCUGGGAAUGGCGAUGGAGACUGCAAGGCUAGAGUUUGGCAGAGGGAGGUAGAAUUCCACGUGUAGCAGUGAAAUGCGUAGAGAUGUGGAGGAACACCGAUGGCGAAGGCAGCCCCCUGGGUCAAAACUGACGCUCAUGCACGAAAGCGUGGGGAGCAAACAGG
rnacentral:rRNA from 1 species